ensembl:lncRNA novel transcript, antisense to COTL1
GCAAAGUGCGCAGCCACAGGCGGCUGGUGCAGACUUGGAGUGUGGGGGAGCAGCGCUUUAGCUCGAGAGCAUUUCUCAGCAGUCCCCGUGGUGUCUGGGAAGCCAGGGCUCUGUUUUGAGGAGUGUCGUCAGAGCAUCAACACCAAAGUGCUUAAUUAAAUGGCAGCCUUGACCUGAGGGGGAGGAGGGGCUGAACAUCCGCCUCCGACUGCAUUUCACAAGCAAAAGAACACGGUGAGUGUGUUUCCAUGGUAACCGCUCUCGGGUUCCCAUUUCCACAUUGGUCAGCCCGGACUUGGAUCCAAACUACCCAUCCCUGGCCCAAGCCUCCAUGGAGGUAAGUUACCAGCCCUGCUUUGGGCCAACGCAGUUUUUGGGGACCUCAACCAUGUGUUCAGCCCAUGGCCAAGGCUUCGGGCUGAGCCAGCUCUCCCAGCCUCUCUCUCUUCUCAGUGUCGCCCCCUCCCACGGCUCUGGCUGGCUCCUCUGCGGAGCUCCAUGGCUUUUCCAGCGUCUGCCCUCUCUGCUGGCUGCCAAGUGCCUCCACAUGCCGGCCAUGCUCUGCGCACCUCCAACCCUCCACAUCCACCCUUCCCCUCUUUCAGACCUCCCCAGGUCUACCUUGGGCAACACCCUUUGCCCCCGGAGGGUCACAGAUUCUUGUUGAAGAACCACAGGCAUUGUCCCUGUGUCCCAAGUACCAGCCCAGGGCCUGGCACAAGAUAGAUGUACAAUAAGUAAGUUACACCCACAACCCCAAGGACACUGGGAACCUUCCAGAACCACAGCCUGAUGUCAUUUAAAUGAUCGUGGGGGAGCGGGGUAAAGAGGGACGUGGUUUGCUAGGUGACUGCUGCGUGCUUAUCCGACAAUGGUUUGGUCAACAAGAUUGCUGACAGGCCUGUUUUUGAAAAUCCGAGUCACGUUAUGCUUACAAAUGUUUGCUGCUAGAGAUCUGGCACGACAGUGACGGGUCAGCUGAGUCGGAGACGGAAAACCUGUUGGUCUGCGCACCGUUUUUGCAGCUGCCCGGCAGACUGGAGGCCUCUCCCCAACCCUGCUCACCCUGAAGGAGGUUCUCGGUCCCUUUUGACCUCACACUGGGCAGUGGAAGGGGAAUCGCUAGUUCUUCAUCCCUGGUUUAGUUACUUUCCCUCUUCUGAACAAAUUGGGUCCACAAACCCCAGUGGCAGUCACAGCCCCACAUCAGCAGUGGGGAGCCCUAGGCUCCCUCGUCUAUGUCGGGCUAUUGUCACUCCUGUACGCGGGAACACUGGCAUAUCUACUAAAGGGCACAGAGAAACGCUGUCCUGUAUAUAUUAGUGUGAUAUGUGUGUGCGUAUAUAUUUGUGUAUGUGUAUAUAUACAUAUAUUUGUGUGUAUAAUAUGUGUCUAUAUGUGUACAGGUGUGUUUGUAUAUGUGUGUAUAUACAUACAUUUGUGAGUACAGGUGUAUAUAUGUGUGUAUAUAUAUUCAUGUAUUUGUGUAUGUGUGUUAUAUAUACAUGUAUGUGUAUGUGUGUGUUAUAUAUAUACAUGUAUGUGUAUGUGUAUGUGUGUUAUAUAUACAUGUAUGUGUAUAUGUGUGUGUGUAUGCACUAAGACGGCAAAACUGCCCAGAAGAAGGUUGGUACCUGGGCUUUCCAUCACCCUCACUGUGCCACUUGGUCCCCAACAGGGCCAAUGGUCCAUCUCUUCAAACUGAAGCUGAGAGUCCAGGUCUACGCAGAGGAGACAGGGAGACUGGGCAACCCCAGUGGGGGACGGGGGACCCAGGACUUCACCCAAACACAGGUACCAGAGACAGAUGCCAUGAGCUCCUUCUGCUGGAGCCCUCAGCACAGGGGAGUGGUCUAUACCCUUAACCUUCUCUGCAAUGUCCAGGGUGCAAGUUCAAAUUCCAGAAUCCUUUAGAAACUUACCCCCACAUGUACUAGCCUUGUGACCCAGCCCAGAGUCCUGAAUGUCUCUAAGCCUCAGUUUCCUCAUCCACAAAAUGGGUCAAAUACUUACCUCAUAAAGUGGUUGGGAGGAUUACAUGAAAAAGAAAUGAGAUCUGAAGGGUUGGCUGAUGGGAAUCAUUGCUGAUUUUUGACCCCCAACACCUCUCCAGUGAAACUGCCCUCAGGGGUCCACAGGGGCCUCCUAAUUGCCAAAGCCAACAGCAUCUUCUCCAUGCCCACUGGUGGCGUUUCACGCCAUUAUCAAUUCUGCCCUCCUUGAACCUCUCCCUUCCCACGGCACCCAGGGCAUGGUGCCAUCUUGGUUCUCAGAGCACUGAUCCCGCCUUCUACUUUCUCCCCGGCUCUUCCACCCCCUCUGUCUCCACACACACACUCCCCAGGGUUCCACCUCAUCCUCUCCUUUCCCCUGACACUCUCUCCCUGGGAGAUCUCAGCUACCACCACAGAACACUGACGCACCAGCCCCUGCC